rnacentral:rRNA from 1 species
UACGGAGGGAGCUAGCGUUGUUCGGAAUUACUGGGCGUAAAGCGCGCGUAGGCGGCUUUGUAAGUUAGAGGUGAAAGCCCGGGGCUCAACCCCGGAACUGCCUUUAAAACUGCAUCGCUUGAAUCCGGGAGAGGUGAGUGGAAUUCCGAGUGUAGAGGUGAAAUUCGUAGAUAUUCGGAAGAACACCAGUGGCGAAGGCGGCUCACUGGCCCGGUACUGACGCUGAGGUGCGAAAGCGUGGGGAGCAAACAGG